UCAAGCGAACAAGGGCGCAGGGCGAAUGCCUUGGCACUGGGAGCCGAUGAAAGACGUGAUAAGCUGCGAUAAGCUUCGGGGAGCUGCAAAUAAGCAUUGAUCCGGAGAUUUCUGAAUGAGGAAACUCACCUGGGUUCAUACUCAGGUACGUUAUACUGAACUUAAAAAUAGGUAUAUCGAGGGAACCGCCUGAACUGAAACAUCUAAGUAGGGCGAGGAAGAGACAUCAAACGAGAUUCCGUAAGUAGUGGCGAGCGAACGCGGAAGAGGGCAAACCGGAGGUAGAAAUACUUCCGGGGUACGGACCGCAUUUAGGACUUGAGUUGUUAACCGAACGGCAUGGGAAGGCCGGUCAGAGAGUGUGAGAACCACGUAGGUGAAAACGACAAGAGCUGAGCGAGUUCCAGAGUACGGCCAGACACGUGAAACCUGGUCGGAAUACGGGGGGACCACCCUCCAACCCUAAAUACUACCCAGUGACCGAUAGCGUAUAGUACUGUGAAGGAAAGGUGAAAAGCACCCCGGGAGGGGAGUGAAAAAGAACCUGAAACCCUGUGCCUACAAGCACCUAGAGCACGUCAAAGUGUGAUAGGGUACUUUUUGUAGAACGGUCCGGCGAGCGAUUGUAUGCAGCAAGGUUAAGGACUUAAGGUCUGGAGCCGAAGCGAAAGCGAGUUUGAAAAGGGCGUUAAGUUGCAUACAAUGGGCCCGAAACCGGGUGACCUACCCAUGGUCAGGUUGAAGUGGAAGUAAAAUUCCAUGGAGGACCGAACCGACCUCCGUUGAAAAGGCGGCGGAUGAACUGUGGGUAGCGGAGAAAUUCCAAUCGAACCCGGAGAUAGCUGGUUCUCCCCGAAAUAGUUUUAGGACUAGCCUCAAGUUAGAUACCUGGAGGUAAAGCACUGAAUAGCCUAGCGGCCGAGAGGUUAGCGAAGCUUAUCAAACUCAGAAUGCCAGAGUAUUGAUGCUUGGGAGUCAGACAGUGUCAGAUAAAUGUCAUUGUCAAAAGGGAAACAGCCCAGAUCUACAGCUAAGGUCCCAAAGUCAGGUUAAGUGGAAAACGAUGUGAAGAUACGUAGACAACCAGGAUGUUGGCUCAGAAGCAGCCACACAUUCAAAGAGUGCGUAAUAGCUCACUGGUCGAGCGUCUUUGCGCGGAGAAUUUAACGGGGCUAAACCUGACACCGAAGCUUAGGCAAUACAGCAAUGUAUUGGGUAGGGGAGCGUUGUAUACGCGGUGAAACAGUAGCGCAAGCGGCUGUGGAGUGUAUAGAAGUGAGAAUGCCGGAAUGAGUAGCGCGAAUGCAGUGAGAAUCUGCAUGGCCGAAAGCCUCAGGUUUCUGGAGGAAGGUUCGUCCGCUCCAGGUUAGUCGGGAGCUAAGGUGAGGCCUAACGGCGUAGCCGAUGCACAGACGGUAGAGAUUCCGUCACCACCAAAAGAGUUAAACACAGGGACACAUUUGAAGUCUCGGAGCCGGGUGUUGGUUCCGGUAGCGAUCGAGGGAAGUUAGUACCGAAGUCCGGGAUGGAAGAUGGCGAGAAAAGCUGUGUGUAUUUCUGCGGUGCCCGUACCGCAAACCGACACAGGUAGGUAGGAAGAAGAUUCUAAGGCCAACGGGAGAAGGGUUGUUAAGGAACUCGGCAAAUUGACCCCGUAACUUCGGGAGAAGGGGUGCUCCAGAGAUGGAGCCGCAGAGAAUCGGCCCAAGCAACUGUUUACCAAAAACACAGGUUUGUGCUAAAUCGAAAGAUGACGUAUACGAGCUGACGCCUGCCCGGUGCUGGAAGGUUAAGAGGAGAUGUGCAAGCAUUGAAUCGAAGCCCCAGUGAACGGCGGCCGUAACUAUAACGGUCCUAAGGUAGCGAAAUUCCUUGUCAGGUAAGUUCUGACCCGCAUGAAAGGCGUAAUGAUUUGGGCACUGUCUCGACAGCCCGCCCGGCGAAAUUGUAGUACCGGUGAAGAUGCCGGUUACCCGCGACAAGACGGAAAGACCCCAUGGAGCUUUACUGUAGCCUAAUAUUGGGUUUCGAUGUUGCAUGCACAGGAUAGAUGGGACACUGGGAAACAAGUGCUUUGGCAUUUGUGGAGUGGCCGUUGGGAUACCAUCCUUGCGAUAUUGGAAUUCUAACCUGCGCCUUUGAAUCAAGGCGGGGGACAUUGUUAGGUGGGCAGUUUGACUGGGGCGGUCGCCUCCUAAAGAGUAACGGAGGCGUUCAAAGGUUCGCUCAGCUUGAACGGAAAUCAAGCAAAAGAGUGCAAACGCAGAAGCGAGCCUAACUGCGAGACUGACGGGUCGAGCAGUAACGAAAGUUGGAGUUAGUGAUCCGGUGGUAUGUGAGUGGAAAUGCCAUCGCUCAACGGAUAAAAGUUACCCUGGGGAUAACAGGCUGAUCUCCCCCAAGAGUCCACAUCGACGGGGAGGUUUGGCACCUCGAUGUCGGCUCAUCGCAUCCUGGGGCUGUAUUCGGUCCCAAGGGUUUGGCUGUUCGCCAAUUAAAGCGGUACGCGAGCUGGGUUCAGAACGUCGUGAGACAGUUCGGUCCCUAUCUGUCGUGGGCGCAGGAUAUUUGAUGGGAGCUGUUCCUAGUACGAGAGGACCGGAGCGGACGUACCUCUGGCGCACCAGUUGUUCUGCCAAGGGCAUAGCUGGGCAACUAUGUACGGAUCGGAUAAACGCUGAAAGCAUCUAAGCGUGAAGCCGACCCAAAGAUAAGAUAUCCCAUUGUUUCAAACAAGUAAGACCCCUUGAAGACUACAAGGUUGAUAGGCAUGAUGUGUAAGUGGAGUGAUCCAUUCAGCAAGCAUGUACUAAUAGGUCGAGGGCUUGACCAC
rnacentral:rRNA from 1 species